GCGGACACUGAUUAAUGGCAGGCCCUUGUCUGUGGGCCUCUCAGACUGGAGCCAUGCCAGAGGAUUCGUAGCCUUGAACCAUUGCCCAGCCUCCUGACCCGUGGGCUGUGGGCAGUGAGGGGGGCUGGACAUUA